AUUCCCCUAGUAACGGCGAGUGAAGCGGGAAGAGCUCAAAUUUAAAAUCUGGCAGUGUAUUCUGUCCGAGUUGUAGUCUAGAGAAGCAUCAUCCGUGCUGGACCAUGUACAAGUCUCUUGGAACAGAGCGUCAUAGAGGGUGAGAAUCCCGUCCUUGACAUGGACUCCCAGUGCUUUGUGUUGUGCUCUCAACGAGUCGAGUUGUUUGGGAAUGCAGCUCAAAAUGGGUGGUAAAUUCCAUCUAAAGCUAAAUAUUGGCGAGAGACCGAUAGCGAACAAGUACCGUGAGGGAAAGAUGAAAAGCACUUUGGAGAGAGAGUUAAACAGUACGUGAAAUUGUUGAAAUGGAAACGCUUGAAGUCAGUCGCGUUCUCUGGGAUUCAGCCUUGCUUUUGCUUGGUGCAUUUCCUAGUCUACGGGCCAGCAUGAAUUUUGACCAAUGGAAAAAGGCUGGGGGAAUGUGGCACCUUCGGGUGUGUUAUAGCCCCUUGUCACAUACGUUGGUUGGGAUUGAGGUCUUAGUGCACGCUUCGGUUGUGCUUUGAUGCUGGCGUAAUGGCUUUAAACGACCCGUCUUGAAACACGGACCAAGGAGUCUAACAUGUCUGCGAGUGUUUGGGUGCAAAACCCGAGCGCGUAAUGAAAGUGAUAGUUGGGAACCUCUCACGAGGGGCACCGACGCCCGGACCAGACCUUCUGUGACGGAUCCGAGGUAGAGCAUAUAUGUUGGGACCCGAAAGAUGGUGAACUAUGCCUGCAUAGGGUGAAGCCAGAGGAAACUCUGGUGGAGGCUCGUAGCGAUUCUGACGUGCAAAUCGAUCGUCAAAUGUGGGUAUAGGGGCGAAAGACUAAUCGAACCAUUGGUUAUGCUACUUGGUGG
rnacentral:rRNA from 1 species